UGUGUUUCCAGGGCUGCUUGUUCAGCAUUUUCCUUUUCCUAGGCAACGGCGGGCAAGAUGAUGAUUUACCGCUUCCUCCUGCUGUCAGCAGCCAGAGGAGAUGAUGAUUUACCACCUCCUCCAUAAGCUUUGAACUGUUGGGUGCUGUGUGGCUGGAGCAGGAGCCAGGCAAACAGGCUGAAGGAUGAGAAGGAGCUGGAUCCUAUCCAUGGCAAGCAUCCCAGCUGUUGCUAAGCCAUCUCAGGAGGUACCACAGGGGCUGGAGGGGCACCAGACCGCGACUGCUUUGUGGGGCAGAGAUGUGCCAGAUGAAAACCAGCACUCAGAGAGAUGCUGCUGCAGCAAGGUGAUCCAGUCACCUAUGCUGAGGUGAAUAGGAAAUGGAGAUCCGACACACCUGACAGCACACCCAAAAUUACACAUUCAGUGACCUGCUCAGAGAAGUCUCCCUGGUGCUACCUUGUGCUCGCCCUGCUGUUUUGUGCUGCGGUUCUGCUCCUCACAGGCAUCCUGCUGGCGGUGAAAUGCUACAGCCACUGACUCUGCUGCCCCUCCGGUCAGCACAGGAAGGUUCUGAUUCUUCAAUGGAACGGGACAUAGUGCUUGUUUUAUUUUACAUUAUUUUGGCUGAAGAGACAAAGUGGAGACAUGCCAUCAGACUGAUCACUCUCCAGUUAUGUCAUCCCAGAUCUCUGUUAAACCUCUAACCUCUUCACAUAUGGACAAGACAUAUUAAUUUUAUUUGGAAUUUUCUUAAUCCCGUAAUACCAGCAACCAUCCAGCUGUAUCAGUGCGUGUAUCAAGACAUGGGCUCAAGCUCCUGCAGCAAAAAGUGGAUUUGGGCCUUGUUUAGACAACAAAAAUGACCAGGUAGAGACAAUACUUUUAGUUCACAUCUGACUUGAUUCUGCACUGAUGUACAACACAGAUAAACUUUUGGAUUAUAUGCAAGUGCAAAAACUUACAGACAAAACAGGGAAUGUGAAAGGUUGCACUGAGGUUUUUUAUAAAGCCUGGGCUUGGACUUGAUUUUUCUUCUUCUGACAGCCUUUAGUUGGAUUUGUAUGAAAGGGAUAUUGAAGAAACUAAAUGUAGUUAGCAGAGAUCUCAGUUUCAUUUUCUCAUUGCCUUGAAUUAAAUUAUUCUGUUCCACUUGUCCAGAAGAGCAUCUCACAAUAUACUGUUUCUGUCUUGGGGCAGUAAUUGAUUUUUGUAUUUGUUUGUUUGUUUGGUUUUUUUCCCCCACAUAUCAUAGCUUCAGUUAAAACGGAGUCCUCCACUGGAACUGAGGCACCUGAAGUUCAAAUGCAUUUGUCUGUAAUUGUGACUUUAUUGUCUGUUUUUAUAUUAUUUCUGGAUCUUAUCCAUUAUAACUUCUUUGUGGCAGGCUGCAGAGGAUUUGCAGACCCUGAGUAGGAGGAGUCUGUAUAGCAAAUAUUUCUAGAGUAUUUCUUGUAUCUAAACUUACUUGUACUUUAGCUGUUGCUGCUGUUGGUAAUGUACCCCAUCUUUAUAAUAUACAUAUGCACAGAAGUCUAUAAAGGGAUUCAGUAAAGCACUUUUGCUGUGGUUUGUUUGA
ensembl:lncRNA